GUUAGCGGCGGAACGGGUGAGUUAACACGUGGGUAACCUGCCCAUAAGACUGGGAUAACUCCGGGAAACCGGGGCUAAUACCGGAUAACAUUUUGAACCGCAUGGUUCGAAAUUGAAAGGCGGCUUCGGCUGUCACUUAUGGAUGGACCCGCGUCGCAUUAGCUAGUUGGUGAGGUAACGGCUCACCAAGGCAACGAUGCGUAGCCGACCUGAGAGGGUGAUCGGCCACACUGGGACUGAGACACGGCCCAGACUCCUACGGGAGGCAGCAGUAGGGAAUCUUCCGCAAUGGACGAAAGUCUGACGGAGCAACGCCGCGUGAGUGAUGAAGGCUUU
rnacentral:rRNA from 1 species